rnacentral:tRNA from 1 species
GUGGCUAUAGUAUAGUGGUCAGUACGUAUCGUUGUGGAUGGUGAUCCACCACAGCAAUAUCCGAUGAGACGCCGGUUCGAUUCCGGCUAGCCACA